UAAUACGAAGGGGGCGAGCGUUGUUCGGAAUUACUGGGCGUAAAGGGCGCGCAGGCGGCGCGAGAAGUCAGGCGUGAAAGCCCCGGGCUCAACCUGGGAAUUGCGCUUGAUACUCUUGUGCUGGAGUUCGGGAGAGGAGAGUGGAAUUCCCAGUGUAGAGGUGAAAUUCGUAGAUAUUGGGAAGAACACCGGUGGCGAAGGCGGCUCUCUGGACCGAGACUGACGCUGAGGCGCGAAAGCGUGGGGAGCAAACAGGAUUAGAUACCCUGGUAGUCCACGCUGUAAACGAUGUGUGCUAGACGUUGGGGAGCCUAGCUUCCCGGUGUCGCAGCUAACGCAUUAAGCACACCGCCUGGGGAGUACGGCCGCAAGGUUA
rnacentral:rRNA from 1 species